UACGGCGGUCAUGGCGGAGGGGAAACGCCCGGUUACAUUCCGAACCCGGAAGCUAAGCCCUCCAGCGCCGAUGGUACUGCACUU
rnacentral:rRNA from 1 species